CAGCAGCCACGGUAAUACGUAGGGUGCAAGCGUUAAUCGGAAUUACUGGGCGUAAAGCGUGCGCAGGCGGUUAUAUAAGACAGAUGUGAAAUCCCCGGGCUCAACCUGGGAACUGCAUUUGUGACUGUAUAGCUAGAGUACGGCAGAGGGGGAUGGAAUUCCGCGUGUAGCAGUGAAAUGCGUAGAUAUGCGGAGGAACACCGAUGGCGAAGGCAAUCCCCUGGGCCUGUACUGACGCUCAUGCACGAAAGCGUGGGGAGCAAACAGGAUUAGAUACCCGGGUAGUCCCUGUCUCUUAUAC
rnacentral:rRNA from 1 species